CCUACGGGUGGCAGCAGUGAGGAAUAUUGGUCAAUGGGAGAGAUCCUGAACCAGCCAAGCCGCGUGAGUGAAGACGGCCCUAUGGGUUUUAAACCUCUUUUGUCGGAGGACAAAACCCGGGACGAGUCCCUGACUGCGUGUAUCCGAAGAAAAAGCAUCGGCUAACUCCGUUCCAGCAGCCGCGGUAAUAGGGGGGAUGCGAGCGUUAUCCGGAUUUGUUGGGUUUAAGGGGUGCGUAGGCGGUCUGUUAAGUCAGCGGGAAUAUUGCGGGGCUCAACCCGGUCGAGCCGUUGAAACUGGCAGACUUGAGUCGGCGAGAAGUACGCGGAAUGCGAGGUGUAGCGGUGAAAUGCAUAGAUAUCGGGCAGAAUUCCGAUUGCGAAGGCAGCGCACCGGCGCCAGACUGACGCUGAGGUACGAAAGCGUGGGGAUCGAACAGGAUUAGAUACCCGUGUAGUC
rnacentral:rRNA from 1 species